rnacentral:tRNA from 2 species
GGGAGCGUGGCGGAAUGGUAGACGCAACGGACUUAGAAGUUUGAGCAUAACGCCAGAAACCUGGUGUCUUUAGUAAGUUCUCAAAUUCAAGGAACUCUAAGUCUUAAUGAUAUGAUAACCUUGAGCCAAUAAAUAAUUUUUAAGGUGCAGAGACUCGACGGGAACUACCAUAAAUGGUAAAGAAAGAGUCCAAUUUCUAACUUUCUACAGUAAUAUAAUAGUGAUGAAAAUCAUUCGGAAAUGAAAAUCCGUUGAUAUUUUUAAUCGUGAGGGUUCAAGUCCCUCCGCUCCCA